GUGAAGGUGGCUCAAUGGUAGAGUGUUUGCCUUGCAUGCAUAAGGCCAUGGGUUCGAUUCCUCAGCACCACA
rnacentral:tRNA from 1 species